ACACAUGCAAGUCGAGGGGAAACGACAUCGAAAGCUUGCUUUUGAUGGGCGUCGACCGGCGCACGGGUGAGUAACGCGUAUCCAACCUGCCCACCACUUGGGGAUAACCUUGCGAAAGUAAGACUAAUACCCAAUGAUAUCUCUAGAAGACAUCUGAAAGAGAUUAAAGAUUUACCGGUGAUGGAUGGGGAUGCGUCUGAUUAGCUUGUUGGCGGGGUAACGGCCCACCAAGGCAACGAUCAGUAGGGGUUCUGAGAGGAAGGUCCCCCACAUUGGAACUGAGACACGGUCCAAACUCCUACGGGAGGCAGCAGUGAGGAAUAUUGGUCAAUGGACGAGAGUCUGAACCAGCCAAGUAGCGUGCAGGAUGACGGCCCUAUGGGUUGUAAACUGCUUUUAUAAGGGAAUAAAGUGAGUCUCGUGAGACUUUUUGCAUGUACCUUAUGAAUAAGGACCGGCUAAUUCCGUGCCAGCAGCCGCGGUAAUACGGAAGGUCCGGGCGUUAUCCGGAUUUAUUGGGUUUAAAGGGAGCGUAGGCCGGAGAUUAAGCGUGUUGUGAAAUGUAGAUGCUCAACAUCUGCACUGCAGCGCGAACUGGUUUCCUUGAGUACGCACAAAGUGGGCGGAAUUCGUGGUGUAGCGGUGAAAUGCUUAGAUAUCACGAAGAACUCCGAUUGCGAAGGCAGCUCACUGGAGCGCAACUGACGCUGAAGCUCGAAAGUGCGGGUAUCGAACAGGAUUAGAUACCCUGGUAGUCCGCACGGUAAACGAUGGAUGCCCGCUGUUGGUCUGAAUAGGUCAGCGGCCAAGCGAAAGCAUUAAGCAUCCCACCUGGGGAGUACGCCGGCAACGGUGAAACUCAAAGGAAUUGACGGGGGCCCGCACAAGCGGAGGAACAUGUGGUU
rnacentral:rRNA from 1 species